CGUGCUUAAGGUAUGCCAGUCCAACCCGCGCAAGCGGGUGGCGAACGGCUGAGUAAUACGUAGGAAUCUACCUCUAAGUAAGGCAUAACCCAUCGAAAGGUGGGAUAAUUCCUUAUGUGGUGGCCACAUCAAAGAUUUAUCGCUUAGAGAUGAGCCUGCGUCCUAUCAGGUAGUUGGUUGGGUAAAGGCCUACCAAGCCUAUGACGGGUAGCUGGUAUAAGUGUAUGACCAGCCCGAGGGGCACUGAGAUACGGGCCUCACCCCUACGGGGGGCAGCAAUCGGGAAUUUUGCGCAAUGGGCGAAAGCCUGACGCAGCGACGCCGCGUGAAGGAUUAAGGCCUUCGGGUUGUAAACUUCGUUGUAAGCACCGGCUAACUACGUGCCAGCAGCAGCGGUCAUACGUAGGGUGCAAGCAUUACCCGGUCUUAUUGGGCGUAAAGAGUUCUGUAGGCGGUUGAAUAAGUUGGAAGUUAAAUAUCCCGGCUCAACCGGGAGGAGGCUUUCAAUACUAUUUGACUUGGAGGUGACUAGGGGGUAGCGGAACGCAUGGUGUAGCAGUGAAAUGCGUUGAUAUCAUGCGGAACACCAAGGGGGAAGCCCAGCUACCUGGGGUUAUCCUGACGCUGAGAGACGAAAGCGUGGGGAGCGAAACGGAUUAGAUACCCGUGUAGUCCACGCUGUAAACAAUGCCUGCCAGAUGCUCCGCUUUUGUGGGGUGUCGAAGCUAACGCGUUAAGCAGGCCGCCUGGGAAGUACGAUCGCAAGAUUAAAACUCAAAGGAAUUGGCGGGGACCCGCACAAGCGGUGGAGCAUGCUCUUUAAUUGGCUGAUAACCCAAGAACCUUACCAGGGCUUGACAUGCAUUUAGUAGUGAACCGAAAGGGGAACGACCGGUAUCCAGUCCGGAGUUUGCACAGGUGUUGCAUGGCUGUCGUCAGUUCGUACCGUGAGGCGUACCCUUAAGUGGGUUAACGAACGCAACCCCUACUGUUAGUUGUAUCACUCUAACGGAACUGCCUCGGCAACGAGGAGGAAGGUGGGGAUGACGUCAAGUCAGUAUUGCUCUUACGCUCUGGGCUAGAAGCAUGCUACAAUGGGGGCGACAACGCGACGCGAAGAGGUGACUCGGAGCAAAUCGCUAAACGCUCUCUCAGUUCGGAUUGGAGUCUGCAAUUCGACUCCAUGAAGUUGGAAUCGCUAGUAAUCGGCGGUCAGCUAUACGCCGGUGAAUACGUUCUCGGGUC
rnacentral:rRNA from 1 species